CCAACGUGGAUAUCCUGGGAGGUCACUCUCCCCAGGCUCUGUCCAGGCAGCACAAGGGGAGCACAGGGCUCUGCCCUAUGAUGUACGGUCCCUUCCCGCAGCGUUGGAAAGAAAGCUGGGCCUUGAGUCUGCACCUGCAUAUUCCUACAGCUUCUCAGAGUCCCUUGGACAAUGACUGAGGGGACAAACCAUGCAGGAAACAGUU
rnacentral:snoRNA from 1 species